rnacentral:rRNA from 1 species
AUUGAACGCUGGCGGCAGGCCUAACACAUGCAAGUCGAGCGGAUGAAGGGAGCUUGCUCCUGGAUUCAGCGGCGGACGGGUGAGUAAUGCCUAGGAAUCUGCCUGGUAGUGGGGGAUAACGUCCGGAAACGGGCGCUAAUACCGCAUACGUCCUGAUGGAGAACGUGGGGGAUCUUCGGACCUCACGCUAUCAGAUGAGCCUAGGUCGGAUUAGCUAGUUGGUGUGGUAAAGGCCUACCAAGGCGACGAUCCGUAACUGGUCUGAGAGGAUGAUCAGUCACACUGGAACUGAGACACGGUCCAGACUCCUACGGGAGGCAGCAGUGGGGAAUAUUGGACAAUGGGCGAAAGCCUGAUCCAGCCAUGCCGCGUGUGUGAAGAAGGUCUUCGGAUUGUAAAGCACUUUAAGUUGGGAGGAAGGACAGUAAGUUAAUACAUUGCUGUUUUGACGGUACCAACAGAAUAAGCACCGGCUAACUUCGUG